rnacentral:lncRNA from 1 species
GGAUGGACACCGGAGCCCCGGCACUGGAGCUGCACCUCAGGGGCAUGCCGGUGUCUGCCCGCUUGUGGAGCUGCUGCUUAAGGAAGUCCCCGUAAAGGUUUAGCUGUCUGUGCUCAAAGCUGCAACCUUCUUGCCUUUACAGCUGGAGAAGGGGGAAGAGGAAAACACAACUGAUGCAGUAAAUGCUAACAUUCUCCCUUUGAUUCCUUCAAACUGUGUUUCCUUGAUGAAAAAGAAACACUCCAUUUCCAUUUAUCGCUGUUAUUCCAUCUUCCGGGGUAAGAUGGGUGCUCCCGUUCCUCGCGCAGCUGGGGUUCAGCGUGCUUCUGUCUUUUCUGUCAGCUGUGUCUCUUUGAUGAGGCCUUCCCCUGGCUCUCUACGUCUGUGAGGUCCCAUGUUCAGGCCCAUAUGGCAUCUCUGAGAGAGACAGCCUUUCCACUUUGCUCCGUUCUGUAGCGGAUAUGGCGGGUUGGUGUUAACGGACAGAUCUGAAUGGAGCCCUUCCAUUUCCUUCUAUCACUGAUCUUGUCCUCCACACUGACAUACUCCGCCGCCAGACAUGCAGAGAGUGGCGGCUUUUUAAAGGUUGCCGGGUGUGGAGACACCAGAACACGAGUCUGUGGGGAAAGGGGCCAUGUCUGCUUUCUAUUUAUAUUUCCAGUGUCUGCUGAAUAAACUAUCAAUAAAUAUUUACUAAAAUGAAAUGAAUCUUUGUAAAAACAUAGCUUUUACACAGAAGUUGUUUUAGGAGGCUCCCCGGACCACCUGUCUGUGGGAUUGCACACUGGAUGUGGAGUCAGCUCUUGCUUGUGCGGUGCUCUUGUAUCAGCCCAAACAUUUCAAGAGUGGCAUUAAAAUGAAAUCAGUGGUUCAGUGAUCAUUCAGGUGUUUCAGCAUAUCGAAACAUCCGCUCCUUUUUACCUAUUAAAAGAAGAGUGAAGACUAGCUUUAAGACGUGUUUUGUCCACAAUGGAGACGUGAGACUAUGAGUGCAGCUGCAAUUGGCAGGGGCAGGGGCAGCGGCCAGAGUGUUAUCAUUAGAGUUAUCAUUAAACAUCUGCAUCAUUAAACCAAUGCUUUUAAACUGCGUCCUUUAGAAAUGUGUAUGUGAAGUCCUAACCCUGAGUACUUCACUACCUCAGAAUGUGAGUGUAUUUGGAAAUAGGGUCAUUGCAAAGGUAAUUAGUUAAGAAGAGUUCCUGCUGCAGUAAGUGGUCACCAAUCCAGCAUGGCAGGAGUCCUUAUAAAAGUGUGGAUUUGGACAUUGAUGUGCACACGGGAAGAAGCCAGUUGAGAAUGGAGGCAGGGGUCGGGGUGACGCUUCUGCAAGCCAAGGAAUGCUGUGAUGCCAACAAACCACUGGAAUCCAGGGGAGAGGCGUGGAGCAGCUUCUCCUUCAGAACUGUUAGGAGGAACCAGUUCUGGACGCAUCCUGAUCUCAGGCUUCUAGCCACAGAACCAUGAGACACACACCCCUGUCACUUCAGCUGCCCAGGUUGAGGCACACUGUUAUGGCA